GGCCCUUCAAUCUCCCUUACUGGCCUCUCUGCAAAAGGGGCAAAAGCAGUGGCCUUUUUGUGUAGCUCUGGUAGGAAUCUAGGUCCCUAAUUUGUUGGCAGAAAAAGAACUUGCAGCACUAGGGAGCAGCUGAUUCUGACUUCCUUACCCAUGAGGCCAACAACCUUGGCCGGUUCUGGCCUGGGUCAGCCAUUUUAGCCUACUGAUGUGAGGGCGGAGGGUGCUGUGUGGUUCACAGCAGGGGCAGCGAGCAGCGAGCGGGCACAGAUCAGAGACAGGUGUCAGUGAUACACAAAGCUGCUUCCUGUGAAGUGAGCUGGGAUGAAGCCAACAGACAAGCAGCCUCCUCCACCAUACAUACCUGUCAUGAUGUUCUGCCUCACCAUAGGCCCAAAGCCAGUGACCAGCCAACCAUGAACAGAGACCUCGGAAAUCCUGAGCCUAAAUAAACCUUUCCUCCCUG
rnacentral:lncRNA from 1 species